rnacentral:tRNA from 2 species
AAGGCUUUGGCUUAAUUAAAGUACCUGUUUUGCAUACAGGAGAUGUGGGCUAGUACCCCGCAAGUCUUA